rnacentral:rRNA from 1 species
UACGGAGGAUGCAAGCGUUAUCCGGAAUGAUUGGGCGUAAAGCGUCCGCAGGUGGCUGUGUAAGUCUGCUGUUAAAGAGUCUAGCUCAACUAGAUAAGAGCAGUGGAAACUACACGGCUAGAGUACGUUCGGGGCAGAGGGAAUUCCUGGUGUAGCGGUGAAAUGCGUAGAGAUCAGGAAGAACACCGGUGGCGAAAGCGCUCUGCUAGGCCGCAACUGACACUGAGGGACGAAAGCUAGGGGAGCGAAUGGG